CAUAAAGUUUUGUGUGAUUUGACCAGAUGAAAAGUCUAUCUUCUUGUCACUCUAUGAUCGGAGAGCAGAGAAUCUCUGCAGCUUUUCUAGAAAAAUAAAAUAAACUUAGAUGUUGUUAGCUUUUCUCUUUUAUUAAAAAAAAGAAACAUGAAUUAAGAUUAUUUUGCACAUUUAUAACAGGAGAAAAACAAAAACUUUACAUUCGAGUAUAUUUUAAUGGUCGUGUAGAAGCUUGUCAGCCUCUUUGACCAAACAGUUUGAGCAGUGCUGGUGCAGGAUUUUGCCCUUUUUUACUGCUAAUUAAAAUAAUUUUGAUUUAGCAGACAGAACGGUAGGAAAUGGCUAUUUUUAAAUAGUCUGCUGUAAUCCCGCCAGUUACUUGACUGCCUCUGAGGUCCUAACACAUUACAAAAGGUCCGAACAAAGUCCGAACAAGUUCCGAACAACUUCAAACGAGGUCCGAACAAGGUCCGAACGGGAUAAAAGUGUUUCAACAGAGAACCAAUCAAUUCCGUCGGAACGGCUCACGUGACAUGAGAGGACGAAGGACCAAUCACCAGUCCAAACGGUCCCGUGACGUAGAGGACGUUUUACAGUAAGCAUCAACAACAGAACGUGAAAAAGAUGACUAAGACAGGUAAGCCAGAUAGCUACUGGUGGGACAUCUGCUCGAAAUGUGCCAAUUCCACUUCUCAACUGACAAACAGCUAGGGGUCAAAAAAUGGAAAAAGGCCUUGGAGAGAAUUGAUGCUUGCCCCUUGCAGAACAGUACAAACGUUAGGGAUCUGUUUGGGAGAAGCCUUCAGUGCUCCUGUGGGUUCCACAAGGCCUGAGAUGGACUGGCGACCUGUCCAGGGUGUACCCCGACUCUCGCCCAUAGACAGCUGGAGAUAGGCACCAGCACCCCUUGUGACCCCACUUGGGAUAAGCAGGUAAAGAAAAUGGAUGGAUGGAUGUCUUGUAGGCUGCUUAGGAGGGAUAAGAGGAAGGACAGGGACAUGCUGCUGCAAGGCACUGUUCUUCCCAAACAGUUGCACCUGGCCAAGGAGCCUCUCUCUGCAACUAAAACACUUCCUGCUGCAUCUGUGCAACAUGCACAUGAAGAUAUGAAGUUUGAAGAGCCUGAAAACCG